rnacentral:rRNA from 1 species
GAUGAACGCUGGCGGCGUGCCUAAUACAUGCAAGUAGAACGCUGAAGGAGGAGCUUGCUCUUCUGGAUGAGUUGCGAACGGGUGAGUAACGCGUAGGUAACCUGCCUGGUAGCGGGGGAUAACUAUUGGAAACGAUAGCUAAUACCGCAUGACAACAGUUAUUGCAUGAUAACUGUUUAAAAGGGGCAACUGCUCCACUACCAGAUGGACCUGCGUUGUAUUAGCUAGUUGGUGAGGUAACGGCUCACCAAGGCGACGAUACAUAGCCGACCUGAGAGGGUGGUCGGCCACACUGGGACUGAGACACGGCCCAGACUCCUACGGGAGGCAGCAGUAGGGAAUCUUCGGCAAUGGACGGAAGUCUGACCGAGCAACGCCGCGUGAGUGAAGAAGGGUUUCGGAUCGUAAAGCUCUGUUGUAAGAGAAGAACGAGUGUGAGAGUGGAAAGUUCACACUGUGACGGUAUCUUACCAGAAAGGGACGGCUAACUACGUG